rnacentral:rRNA from 1 species
AUUGAACGCUGGCGGCAUGCUUUACACAUGCAAGUCGAACGGUAACAGGUUAAGCUGACGAGUGGCGAACGGGUGAGUAAUGCAUCGGAACGUGCCCGGUCGUGGGGGAUAACGCAGCGAAAGCUGCGCUAAUACCGCAUACGAUCUGAGGAUGAAAGCGGGGGACCGUAAGGCCUCGCGCGAUCGGAGCGGCCGAUGUCAGAUUAGGUAGUUGGUGGGGUAAAGGCUCACCAAGCCGACGAUCUGUAGCUGGUCUGAGAGGACGACCAGCCACACUGGGACUGAGACACGGCCCAGACUCCUACGGGAGGCAGCAGUGGGGAAUUUUGGACAAUGGGCGCAAGCCUGAUCCAGCAAUGCCGCGUGCAGGAAGAAGGCCUUCGGGUUGUAAACUGCUUUUGUACGGAGCGAAAAGGCUCUCUCU